AACGAACGCUGGCGGCAUGCCUAACACAUGCAAGUCGAACGAAGGCUUCGGCCUUAGUGGCGCACGGGUGCGUAACGCGUGGGAAUCUGCCCUUUGCUUCGGAAUAACAGUUAGAAAUGACUGCUAAUACCGGAUGAUGUCGCAAGACCAAAGAUUUAUCGGCAAAGGAUGAGCCCGCGUAGGAUUAGCUAGUUGGUGGGGUAAAGGCUCACAAAGGCGACGAUCCUUAGCUGGUCUGAGAGGAUGAUCAGCCACACUGGGACUGAGACACGGCCCAGACUCCUACGGGAGGCAGCAGUGGGGAAUAUUGGACAAUGGGCGAAAGCCUGAUCCAGCAAUGCCGCGUGAGUGAUGAAGGCCUUAGGGUUGUAAAGCUCUUUUACCCGGGAUGAUAAUGACAGUACCGGGAGAAUAAGCUCCGGCUAACUCCGUGCCAGCCGCCGCCGUAACAC
rnacentral:rRNA from 1 species